rnacentral:rRNA from 1 species
UGAGACUGUCCUGGCUACAGCGAACGCUGGCGGCAGGCCUAACACAUGCAAGUCGAGCGGCAGCGCGGGGGCAACCCUGGCGGCGAGCGGCGAACGGGUGAGUAAUACAUGGGAAUCUACCUAGUAGUGGGGGAUAACUUCGGGAAACUGGAGGUAAUACCGCAUACGUCCUACGGGAGAAAGGGGGGGAUCUUCGGACCUCUCGCUAUUAGAGGAGCCCAUGUCCGAUUAGCUAGUUGGUGAGGUAAAGGCUCACCAAGGCGACGAUCGGUAACUGGUCUGAGAGGAUGGUCAGUCACACUGGAACUGAGACACGGUCCAGACUCCUACGGGAGGCAGCAGUGAGGAAUAUUGGUCAAUGGGCGGAAGCCUGAACCAGCCAUGCCGCGUGCGGGACGAAGGCGCUACGCGUCGUAAACCGCUUUUGUCCGGGGGUAACCGUGGGGACGCGUCCCCACCUGCAAGUACCGGACGAAUAAGGGUCGGCUAACUCCGUGCCAGCCGCCGCGGUAAUACAAGCCGAAUUCCACACACUA